rnacentral:lncRNA from 1 species
UAACUCGGUGAACGCUUUAAAAUCACAGUCACGGCAACAAAUGACAGCGAUUUUUCGUUUUUGCGAUCAUGUAACACACAUCUCCCACCGAAAUGACGUCAUCUUGGAUCGUUCUCUGUCACGGUCACUUGUAGGGAUUUAUCCAAGUUAUAACGCAGUUUUUACGUAUCGAUAGUCAGUUUAAGCGAUUAUGUAAGCAUAAUGAUCAUACAACUGGGUGACACAGAAGUUGUCAAAGUCAAUCGCUAUAGAAACUAAUACCGAGCAGUGUUUUAAUAAAGUUUACUUGACGCCUGUGAUUCAAUAAUUACAAAUAAAAGUACUUUUAGGAUUUUUUUGAAUUUUGUACUAUACCUUUGUUUACCGACAUUGCCAUGUACAAUACAAUGCAUGUAGCAUUUGUAUUGUACGCGGAAACGGAACG